GACGAACGCUGGCGGCGUGCCUAAUACAUGCAAGUUGAGCGCUGAAGGUUGGUACUUGUACCAACUGGAUGAGCAGCGAACGGGUGAGUAACGCGUGGGGAAUCUGCCUUUGAGCGGGGGACAACAUUUGGAAACGAAUGCUAAUACCGCAUAAAAACUUUAAACACAAGUUUUAAGUUUGAAAGAUGCAAUUGCAUCACUCAAAGAUGAUCCCGCGUUGUAUUAGCUAGUUGGUGAGGUAAAGGCUCACCAAGGCGAUGAUACAUAGCCGACCUGAGAGGGUGAUCGGCCACAUUGGGACUGAGACACGGCCCAAACUCCUACGGGAGGCAGCAGUAGGGAAUCUUCGGCAAUGGACGAAAGUCUGACCGAGCAACGCCGCGUGAGUGAAGAAGGUUUUCGGAUCGUAAAACUCUGUUGGUAGAGAAGAACGUUGGUGAGAGGGGAAAGCUCAUCAAGUGACGGUAACUACCCAGAAAGGGACGGCUAACUACGU
rnacentral:rRNA from 1 species